rnacentral:lncRNA from 1 species
GUUUUAGUACUUUGGGAAUUAGAGACUCUAUACAUUACUCAUUGCAUCCUUUGGAUCACUUAGAUUUGCUGAUAAAGCAUUUUUUUCAGGUGAUCUUUGAGUUGGAAUCUCCACAUGUCGACCUUUUGCUUCGGUCAGUGGAUCAGGAAGACUUCACAUGCGGUUCAAAUUAUUCCAAAGUCAAUCAGUUGUAGCUGUUUAGUUGUGCAGUAGCCAAUAUUUGACCAAUCAUGCUUUUGGGAAUAACAAAAUAUUGGUAGUACAACAAAAUCUAAAUAACAGUUUAUAACAUAAUUAAUAGAUGAAUUGAGAAAAAAAGACUAUGCCAUACAUUAAUAGAUGAAGUGAGAAAAAAGAAUGAGCCAUUUGUCAAUGAUAACUCAUCGUGGAUAGUUCUGAUUCUAGGUCUUACCGCAACGAGGAGAGUAAAUAAUUUGUUUGUUGCCACUUAUGAACUUUCAAAGAACUAAACUCUCACCAGUUUAUAUACACAAAAUGAAAAUAAAUAUUAAAAAUGAACUUUGGGAAUUAGAGACUCUAUACAUUACUCAUUGCAUCCUUUGGAUCACUUAGAUUUGCUGAUAAAGCAUUUUUUUCAGGUGAUCUUUGAGUUGGAAUCUCCACAUGUCGACCUUUUGCUUCGGUCAGUGGAUCAGGAAGACUUCACAUGCGGUUCAAAUUAUUCCAAAGUCAAUCAGUUGUAGCUGUUUAGUUGUGCAGUAGCCAAUAUUUGACCAAUCAUGCUUUUGGGAAUAACAAAAUAUUGGUAGUACAACAAAAUCUAAAUAACAGUUUAUAACAUAAUUAAUAGAUGAAUUGAGAAAAAAAGACUAUGCCAUACAUUAAUAGAUGAAGUGAGAAAAAAGAAUGAGCCAUUUGUCAAUGAUAACUCAUCGUGGAUAGUUCUGAUUCUAG